GAUGAAGAACGUAGCGAAAUGCGAUAAGUAGUGUGAAUUGCAGAAUUCAGUGAAUCAUCGAAUCUUUGAACGCACAUUGCGCCCCAUGGUAUUCCGUGGGGCAUGCCUGUUCGAGCGUCAUUUACCCCCUCAAGCUCCGCUUGGUGUUGGGCGUCUGUCCCGCUUCGCGCGCGGACUCGCCCCAAAGAUAUUGGCAGCGGUCGUGCCAGCUUCUCGCGCAGCACAUUGCGCUUCUCGAGGCACCGGUGGGCCCGCGUCCAUCAAGCUCACCCCCCCAGUUUGACCUCGGAUCAGGUAGGGAUACCCGCUGAACUUAAGCAUAUCAAUAAGCGGAGGA
rnacentral:misc_RNA from 1 species